rnacentral:lncRNA from 1 species
UUGGACUUCAACUUCAUCAAAAACUACCUUGACCAAAAACUUUAACCUGAAACAUGCACUUUCAUUUUCUAUGUUCAGUGGACCGUGAAAUUGGGGUCAAAAGUUUAAUUUGGCUUUAAAAUUAGAAAGAUCAUAUCAUAAGGAACAUGUGUACUAAGUUUCAAGUUGAUUGGACUUCAACUUCAUCAAAAACUACCUUGACCAAAAACUUUAACCUGAAGCGGGACAGACGGACGAACGAACGGACGAACGAACGAACGAACAGACGGACGGACGAACGAACGAACGGACGCACAGACCAGAAAACAUAAUGCCCCUCUACUAUCGUAGGUGGGGCAUAAAAA